CAAGCGGUGGAGCAUGUGGUUUAAUUCGAUGCAACGCGAAGAACCUUACCUGGUCUUGACAUCCACGGAAGUUUUCAGAGAUGAGAAUGUGCCUUCGGGAACCGUGAGACAGGUGCUGCAUGGCUGUCGUCAGCUCGUGUUGUGAAAUGUUGGGUUAAGUCCCGCAACGAGCGCAACCCUUAUCCUUUGUUGCCAGCGGUCCGGCCGGGAACUCAAAGGAGACUGCCAGUGAUAAACUGGAGGAAGGUGGGGGGAUGACGUCAAGUCAUCAUGGCCCUUACGACCAGGGCUACACACGUGCUACAAUGGCGCAUACAAAGAGAAGCGACCUCGCGAGAGCAAGCGGACCUCAUAAAGUGCGUCGUAGUCCGGAUUGGAGUCUGCAACUCGACUCCAUGAAGUCGGAAUCGCUAGUAAUCGUGGAUCAGAAUGCCACGGUGAAUACGUUCCCGGGCCUUGUACACACCGCCCGUCACACCAUGGGAGUGGGUUGCA
rnacentral:rRNA from 1 species